AUGUAUGGAAAGCGCCGGUUGAGAAAUAUCUUGCUUGAUCAGAUGAAGAACCUCCAGCUCAGGAAGGUGGCGCGUCUGGAAUACCCUGAGAUUCCGUUCCUUCCAUAUAUUCCAGCAGGUUUAUAUGGCAGUGGUGAUAAGCUCUGGAUCCAAAGUGCAUGUCAGGUCGUUCCACCAAGCUUCAGAGGAGGUCGCGUUGUGGGUGAGAGCAGGGCAGUUAGUCCAGUUGGCAACCAACAUCCAAAUGGAUUGCGAGAAGGUGCAUCUCGGGAUCAUAUGGAAAAAGGAGUCCCAUCCUCUUGA
rnacentral:rRNA from 1 species